UACGGGGGGAGCAAGCGUUGUUCGGAUUUACUGGGCGUAAAGAGCGCGCAGGCGGUCGAUCAAGUCGAGUGUGAAAGCCCCCGGCUCAACUGGGGAGGGUCAUUCGAUACUGAUCGACUCGAAGGCAGGAGAGGGUAGUGGAAUUCCCGGUGUAGUGGUGAAAUGCGUAGAUAUCGGGAGGAACACCAGUGGCGAAGGCGACUACCUGGCCUGUUCUUGACGCUGAGGCGCGAAAGCUAGGGGAGCAACGGG
rnacentral:rRNA from 1 species